rnacentral:rRNA from 1 species
GGGUCAGUAGGUUGGUCGUGCCACCGGUACGUACUGGUCUCACUGAUUCCUCCUUCCUGAAGAACCGUAAUGCCAUUAAUUUGGUGUUGCGGGGAAACAGGACUGCUACUUUGAAAAAAUUAGAGUGUUUAAAGCAAGCUAACGCUUGAAUACAUUAGCAUGGGAUAAUGAAAUAGGACGAUCGAUCCUAUUUUGUUGGUUUCUAGGAUUGACGUA